ACAGAGAAACUGGCAGAAAAUGAAUCCAUGGAGAUUUUGACAAGACCCCUCUAAGCAAGAUCUAAAGACAACAUCAGAUGGAGUUGUCUGUGGAUUAUGAGGAUGCAGCAUUCAAGGUUCUAUCUUGGAAGCAGAGACUGUGCCCUCACCAGAUGCUGAACCUGCUGAGCACCCUGAUCUUCCACUUCACCUUCAUCAGAACUACUGGGGCUGUGGCUGAGAUGUCACAUGGCAGAUAGGAUCACAAAUUUCUGUUGUAUCUGGAUGGAGAUCAGCAGGAGGAUCUAUGGACUGCUGUGAUUGCACCUGCCAUCUUAUGCAGAAAUGACCUGAAGACAGACUGAAACAACGUGUUCUACAGCCUGAAAAUAUCUACCUUGACUUACAGUUUUAUUAAUGCUGGUGUGAUCAGACUGGACAAAAAUUAGCAUAUGUUAUUAACUGAUCUAAUUCAAGUGCCAAUUCUUAAUAGAAACACAAAACAAUAAAAGCAAUUCAGAAAA
rnacentral:lncRNA from 1 species